rnacentral:tmRNA from 1 species
GGGGGCGACCUGGCUUCGACGUGGGUUGCGAAACCUUGAGUGCAUGCCGAGAUGCAGAAUCUCGUAAAUCAGCUGCAAAACUUUAGUUGCCAACGACGACAACUACGCACUCGCUGCUUAAUACCCAGUAGGGUGCCGUCUGACCGGAACUGUGCCUGUACAGUCUGGAUUCAGGCGUCGACUCUUACAGGAUCGCGAUGAAAUUUGUUCUGGGUGGAUUCGCUAAACUCUUACAGAACUCGCC